rnacentral:rRNA from 1 species
GAUGAACGCUAGCUACAGGCUUAACACAUGCAAGUCGAGGGGUAACGAGAGGAAAGCUUGCUUUCCUUGUCGACGACCGGCGCACGGGUGAGUAACGCGUAUCCAACCUGCCCCCAACUAGGGAAUAACCUUGCGAAAGUAAGACUAAUACCCUAUAAUUUCCUCAGAUGUCAUCUGACGAGGAAUAAAGAUUUAUCGGUUGUGGAUGGGGAUGCGUCUGAUUAGCUUGUUGGCGGGGUAACGGCCCACCAAGGCAACGAUCAGUAGGGGUUCUGGGAGGAAGGUCCCCACCAAUGGAACUGAGACACGGUCCAAACUCCUACGGGAGGCAGCAGUGAGGAAUAUUGGUCAAUGGGCGGAAGCCUGAACCAGCCAAGUAGCGUGCAGGAUGACGGCCCUAUGGGUUGUAAACUGCUUUUAUACAGGAAUAAAGUUAGCCACGUGUGGUUAUUUGUAGGUACUGUAUGAAUAAGGACCGGCUAAUUCCGUGCCAGCCGCCGCCGUAA